UACGGAUGGUGCAAGCGUUAAUCGGAAUUACUGGGCGUAAAGCGCACGCAGGUGGCUGAGUCAGUCGAUUGUGAAAGCCCUGGGCUUAACCUGGGAAUUGCAGUCGAUACUACUCAGCUAGAGUAUGGGAGAGGGCAGUGGAAUUCCCGGUGUAGCGGUGAAAUGCGUAGAUAUCGGGAGGAACAUCAGUGGCGAAGGCGGCUGCCUGGCCCAAUACUGACACUCAGGUGCGACAGCGUGGGGAGCAAACAGG
rnacentral:rRNA from 1 species